GACGAACGCUGGCGGCGUGCUUAACACAUGCAAGUCGAACGAAGUGGCGAACGGGUGAGUAACGCGUAAUCAACCUGCCCUUCCGAGGGGGACAACAGUUGGAAACGACUGCUAAUACCGCAUACUGAAGGAGGGGAUUGCGUCUGAUUAGCUAGUUGUAGGGGUAACGGCCCACCAAGGAGAUGAACAGUAUCCGUUCUGAUAGGAUGAUCGGCAACAUUGGGACGGGGACACUGCCCAGACGCCUACGGGAGGUAGCAGUGGGGAAGCUUCCGCAAUGGACGAAAGUCUGACGGAGCAACGCCGCGUGAGUGAUGACGGCCUUCGGGUUGUAAAGCUCUGUUAAUCGGGACGCGGUACCGGAAUAGAAAGCCACGGCUAACUACGUGCCAGCAGCCGCGGUAAUAC
rnacentral:rRNA from 1 species